rnacentral:lncRNA from 1 species
GAGCGUUGUAGUAAUCAGUCAAGUCUGACACAGGAGACAAUGCCACGCUGGAAUUUUCCGGCGUGAUAUAAUCGUUGUUGUUCAUUACACCAAAUUGUUGUCCCAUGCUAUUGUUGUUGUAAUCAUACGUCAUGAAUUGAUUGUUAGAGGUUAUGAUGCAAGAUGACGUGGCAGCUGAGCCUGUUGUGGUAGCGUUGGUUAGGGCUGCGGCGGAGGCAGAGGCGGAUUGGAUCCUCUCAACGAGCCUAGGCAUCCACAAAUACUUCAUUGUGUCUUUGAACUGUUGACUGUUUACAUCGCAUUUAAGCUGCUUUGCAUGUUUUUGCACUCGUGUUCUCCAGUAGUUUUUAAUCUCAUUGUCUGUUCUUCCUGGUAGAUAUUGUGCGAUUUUUGACCAUCUGUAUUUUAAAAGCACACAAAUUAAAUCCACUGUUUUAAACAUGAUAUAUUGCUAAUCAAACUAUUUUUGUUCAUCUAUUACAUUGCUAUUCAUUAGGAUAUCUCAAUAUCAUAUGUUUUAUCCAUUAACAAAUAUCUAUAUACAACGCCACAUAAGUUAAUAUAUUCUCCGUUUUUAAUAUCACAGCAUAUAUAUUUUGAUACACGAAAAUAUGUAAUAUACAGAUAGUAUCCUUUCAAAUAAAAUAUUUUGUGUACUUUUAGUUGGAAGCCGGUUUUAAUUAUCUUAAAAAGAGAGAUCGUUAAAUUGUUUAAAAUUUUAACUUUAUUUGUAUGAAAAGACAUAAAACAAUAAUUUCUGAUAGAAAAGAAGUAUAUCUCAUGAAACGAUAAAAUAUUACGUAUUAUAUUAUUUUGAAUUUGAAACGUACCGAUUGCCCCAACGGGAAUGAAGUUCGAGGAUCAAGAGUUGUUCUUCGAGGGUAAUGUUUCCACGGCGGACGUCAGGACGGAGAUAGUUUAACCACCGUAGCCUACAGCUUUUACCAGUGCGUUGGAGUCCUGUGAAAUUGGUAAAAGUAUGUAUAUGAUCAUUAAUUAACCAGUUGGUCAUGUAUAAGUAUAGUAUCAUGAUUCCAUACGGAAGAAACUCAUUUAAAUAAAAGUUUCAUAUUGAGUAAAGUUAUAUCAAGUUCUCAAACAAAAUAGAAAUGCACCGUAGUAUGAUGCAAAAUGCUAAUGGUCCUAAAGGGUCUUUUUUAUUUGCAAGCUUUCUUCCAUUGAGUUAGUGCUCUUCCCAUAGAGAUGAUGAUCAUUAAUUCGCAUUAGUUCUUUCUUUUUCACCCCCUUUUUAAUAACCAAACUUGGAUAUGUUAUUCAAUACUGAGAUGGUUGAUAAUUGAAUCCAUUACUAAAAGAUCUCACUCAAAUAAUCAAAUACUUUAUUUAGUUGAGUGAAAUAAUUUUUAGAAAUAAUAAAAAGAGUGAAACAAAGAAAUAUCAGUAUGCACUUUUUCAUUCAUACCUAUGAAGGGUCUUUUCAUCUAUGCAUAUAAAAGGAAGAAACCAUUUCUGAUGUUUUUUUUUUUUUGAAAAAAUCUCUUUUAAAAAUAGAAAAGGUCGGCAAUCUAAAAGAACAUAGAAAAAACACAAUCACACAUGGUGACUGAAACAUGAAAAGGAUUGAACAUAAAGUGAACAAAUCAAUUAUGUUAUGUGACUUGUCCUUUCUCUUUUAGCCAAAAAGAUGCACAUCGAAGUAGAACAUACAUGUAUUUUUUUCACAUAUACAACAUGUAUAUAUACGUGAAAUGAAUCAUACCAGCGCAACGAGAAAGCGAGUUCCAUCGACCUUCUCCAUUAGUAGCAAUGUAAUUUAUGAGCUUACAAUCUUCUUCUGCUGUCCAUGGACCUCUUUUCAGGUCCAUAUCGUCUUCCAUGUUGUUGUUCUUCAAGCUUCUUCCUCUCUCAUCCAUUGAUGCAAGCAGAAGAGACCCUCGAGCAAAACGAUCGAGUCUUUCUACUUUUUUCUAUGUGGUUUUGAGAGAGAGAGAAAUUGAUAUAUUUUUUUGGAGUUAUGUGUAGAUAGAGAAAGGAUGAGUUUUGGAUGCACAAGAAAAAGAGAAGUUGUGGGUUUUAUAGAAGAGAAAAGAUGAUAGUUUUCAAUUUUUCCUUUUAUUUUUAAAAAUUAUUUGGAACAUGUGCGAAGAGGGGAAUAGACAGCCGUAACAUAAGAACUGUGUUUAUUGAUUUAUUAAUUAUUAUCUUAAAUACUCCCCAUUCUGUUUGUAAACUUUUUUAAACUCAAAUUCCUUUUUGAAGUUAUAUAUUCAUGAUGUGUAAAAAGGGAAACUAUCGAAUACGAAUAGUCCAUUUGGGUGAACAAAUAUUCUCUUAUGCAAGGUAAGCUUCCAAGUUCCAUCGUACGAAUUUUACAAGCAUUAAAGCAAUAUUAUGAGUUAGCUUACUAACGAGGGAUUUUACAUUUUGAAUUUUGAUUCCUCAAACUUUAUAAUUACAAUGAUUGAAACACGUGCCCUUAGCCGAUACAAUUUUUACAUAUGUAAAUUUUAUAGUAUGGAAUGAUGGUGUUAUAAUAAGAUUGGUAUUGUAAACUUUAUUUCAUUUUUUUCUAAAAUUAGUUUUAGAUUAUAUUUGAAGACAUGUGGCAUUUCUUCCUUACAUACACACACGCAUAUAUUAUAUGAGUAAUAAUAAUUAAACAGAAUCUUGCAGUAUGUUAAAAUAUAAACUAAGCAUAAUAAUAUAAUUUUUUUUUUUUGGUAAAAUAAUAAUAUAAUUUUUUUACAAGGCUAAACUGAUAAUACAUAUAUUUUACAAGGAUCAAUAAGCCAAUUAUUUUCAAUAAACCAAAUUCAUUAAAUCUUUAUGUAAGAAGUACAUGUAAAAUUUUGUUUUCUUACAAAAAUUCACAUACUACGUAUUCUAGCUCCGCUAUUCAUAUUGUUUAUUCUCUCCUUUGAAAGUUAUUCGAUUUUUUUUAAUUAUUGUUUGAUCUUUUCAUAUACAUAUAUAAUAAAACUAACCGCUACAAAAUCUUAGCAAAACAAAAAAAACUAACCGCUAUAUAAAUAUUAUGCUACGUUGAUGAUAGAAUGAACACUAAUUCUAAAAUAAAGCUGCCAAUAAAAGCCUGUAUUUGAAGUUCAAAAAGAAGCAACUUGUACUAUAUAGUAGUAGUAUUUAAGAACAACAUGCUCCAGAAUAGUUAAUUUUGUGCAAAAACACGUUGUCGUCUUUAAUUAAUGAUGCUAGAAGUCUACACGUAGAGAAAGAUGCCGUCCAGUUAAAAUAUCAGUUAAUAGACUCUGGAGGAUUAAAGGGUUAAUUAUCACUUAGCACUUAAUUAAGCACUAAGUUUUAAAAGUUGACCCGCUGACUUCCAAUUCUGUGUGUAGUACUUAGUUCUAAAAAAAAAGAAACCCUGUGUGUAGCAUACUGAGUUUCUGUUUUCUGAUUUUGUUGAUAGCUAAUUUGUAUUUAUUUUCCACAUAUGAAUUGAGUUUUUCAUUAUUUUAAACAAGUUGCAAUAUAUAAUAUUUAUGUUUGCGCUGAAGAGUUUUUAUUUUAUUUUAAAUUUAUCCACUUCAUUCCGACCUUAAAAGCUCCAAAUUCAUGGUAAUAAGAGGACCCAAAAUUCAUGGUAAAAGAGGACAUGCCAAGAGACGAAGUUCGCCCUAGAGAGAGAACAUAACCACGCCGCCGCCGCUCUUACAUCUCGACGCCGGUGAGGCCCAUGGCCACCGGCGUCGGGCCCUCAAUUCCGUCUGUUUCAUCUCUGUUUCAGACGACUCAGACGAUUUACUGGGGCUAUAUUCGUAAAAAUGGCUUCUGUUUUUUUGUUUGGUCACAAGGGGCUGAGCUGUAAUUUCACUAGGCUUUUAGGUUAGUUUUGCAUUUGAUUCAAGUUUGGGUAUAGGUUUGGAGUUAAAAUCAAGUUGUGGGUUAGUUUUGGCAAAAACCCCAUUUUUAUACUAUGGUUAUUGCGAUUUUUUAAAAUUAUUUUAAUAGUUUAAAAUUAAACAAAUUUGAUAAGAUACAUUAUUGUUUUUAUCAGAUCUUUAUUAUUCAAAAUCAUUAAUUGUAAUAUAUACUUUAGCCACAUUAGGCAAUUCCGUAAUCUUUAUUUAAGGAAAUAAUAAAUUACAUUAAUAAUGAAUUUAUGAUUAGUUUAAUAAAAAGCUUAUUAUAUAAUUAGAUGGACGAACAUAUUUCUCUAAUAAUUCUAAGAAUCAUCCUAGUGAUGACACGUGACUACAAAAAUAAGUUGUAAUGUUUCACAAAUAAUACAUAGGGGAUUGUACUCAAUGGGAAGAAAUGAGGAAAGCCGUAUUAUUGCUUAAACGAUCAAGUUGAUAUAUAUAUAAAGAAAACGACUUCAACUAGUUUUUUUUACGGCUCACAUUUAAUGUCUAUACUGAAUAAAACGGAAAUAAAAGCUUAAGAAAAUAGGGUAUCCAAUAUAACAUUAAUAUCAAAUUUCAUUGAUAGUUAGAUGAUAUACUAACAUGUUGUCUUGAUUCUGGCCUAUUUUGUUUAACUAGAUUCAAUUAUUUUCAACAUUAAAUAUACAACAACCUUUAGAAGAGGUGAAACUAAUUAUACUACUCCUACUAUAAAUGAUGUGAUAAUAGCUAAAGUGCAUGGUCCAGUGGAUUGUUGGAGAGGGUAAAAUUAACCAAAAAUAUCAUAACAAAAUGAAACGGUGGAAGAUUUCUUUGUACCAAUAAUGUUUUAGUGGUUACUGUUGCAUCCUACAUAAAAGUCAUUAUUCCUUCUUUUUUGGGUCUAAAUGUUAAAUGUUCAGUCAAGUUAUUAUUCCUUGGAGAUAACUUCAUCUCUGUUUUGUUUUGUUUUAUUUUAGUUAACAAUUUACUAAAAAUAAUCUCGUGUUAUUUCCUAAACUGUGUUUUAAACAGAAUUGAGGUGUGGGAGCAGAUGAGGAAAUAAGGGUAAUAUAGCAGCUACCAAAGACAUGGACAUGGUGUUGCUUACGUGUUGCAGAGUAAGGACAUGGGUUUGUGUGGAUAAUGGUUUAACGGUCCGUACAAUAAUGCGGUUUUCCAAUAAUUAACUAAGGCUUCUGGAAUUUAGUGGUGGCUUAUCAUCACUUAGCAAAUAUUUUAACAAACAUUUAACUUUUCAAUGAAUAAACCUCUUAAUGUCCACCUUAAACUCAAAGCCUAGAUAACAGCCAACGAGCUUUCGCCAUGUGGUGUUGAGAAUAAAACGUUCAGUUUUUUAAUGUCUUCUUUUGAACCCAAAGAAAGGCUUUCACACACACUUUAUUUUCCAUAUACAUGCCCUAUAGACAUAGUUCCUAAAAAGCAAUACUACUUGGAUUAUCCAUUUUAUAGUACUAAAGUAAUUAUUAUAUAUCUUUUUUAAAUACUUUCUGAUGUGUUUGUUUUGUUUGUUUCUGUCAUAUCUUUGGUUAAAUAUUAAUCAUGGUGGAACCAAUUAUGAGCUUCGUCGUCGUUAUAUUAGUAAUUAAAUGAAUAAUGAUUUGGUUUAUGCUUCCAUUGAGGAAAUCACUCAAUAUAGUGUGAAAACAACUUCAGUUAUUUGUUUAAAGUAUACCCUCACACUGACGAACAAGUACUUGUUUUUGUAAAAUAAGUUAUACAAUUAUUGCAUCUAUAUUUAUGAAUAAACUACAAAAUAUCAUUACAGUCCCAAAACAGACAAAACCAAUCAAAUUCAGCGAUUUUUUAAAACGCCAUGACAUAUGAUCAAGCUUGUAAUAAAAAAGCUGAUCAUAUAUCCUAAGAUAAUAUCAUAAGCCCAUUACUUUUCUUUAAUUAUUACAUUGAACAAAUGCCUUUCACACGUAUACUUCGUGUUAAUUAAAUUAAGUACUUGAACAAUUUUUUAACUGUAUUCAGAAAUUGCCAUUAUUGUUGAACUGUUGUUGCUGCUGUAAGAACCAGAAGUCUUCAUAACUUUCUCCAAUGUCCCAUAAACUGUCCGAAGAAGAAGCAGCUCCAUUAAUAUUUUCAAACCAGUUAAGGUUACUCUGCUCCUGCAUAGCCGGUACAUCUUCGUCUAGUAACCUAGAAUAAUCGAAAUAAUCAUCCGGUAACAUUUGUGGACCCACCAAGUUCUGAUCCGGGUAGUAGCUAUUCCCCACUUGACCCGAGUGGUAUUCCGGGUUCGGGUUUGGAGCGUUGUAGUAAUCAGUCAAGUCUGACACAGGAGACAAUGCCACGCUGGAAUUUUCCGGCGUGAUAUAAUCGUUGUUGUUCAUUACACCAAAUUGUUGUCCCAUGCUAUUGUUGUUGUAAUCAUACGUCAUGAAUUGAUUGUUAGAGGUUAUGAUGCAAGAUGACGUGGCAGCUGAGCCUGUUGUGGUAGCGUUGGUUAGGGCUGCGGCGGAGGCAGAGGCGGAUUGGAUCCUCUCAACGAGCCUAGGCAUCCACAAAUACUUCAUUGUGUCUUUGAACUGUUGACUGUUUACAUCG